GUACCGAUGAAGAGUUCAAAACUAGGACGAAACAGCUGUUCAGUAC
rfam:Trichobilharzia regenti genome assembly, scaffold: TRE_scaffold0019694